rnacentral:rRNA from 1 species
AACGAACGCUGGCGGCAUGCCUAACACAUGCAAGUCGAACGAAGGCUUCGGCCUUAGUGGCGCACGGGUGCGUAACGCGUGGGAAUCUGCCCUUGGGUUCGGAAUAACAGCGGGAAACUGCUGCUAAUACCGGAUGAUGACGUAAGUCCAAAGAUUUAUCGCCCAAGGAUGAGCCCGCGUAGGAUUAGCUAGUUGGUGGGGUAAAGGCCCAACAAGGCGACGAUCCUUAGCUGGUCUGAGAGGAUGAUCAGCCACACUGGGACUGAGACACGGCCCAGACUCCUACGGGAGGCAGCAGUGGGGAAUAUUGGACAAUGGGCGAAAGCCUGAUCCAGCAAUGCCGCGUGAGUGAUGAAGGCCUUGGGGUUGUAAAGCUCUUUUAACCGGGAUGAUAAUGACAGUACCGGGAGAAUAAGCUCCGGCUAACUCCGUG